UACGUAGGGUGCAAGCGUUGUCCGGAAUUAUUGGGCGUAAAGAGCGUGUAGGCGGCCCGAUUAGUCUGCUGUGAAAGUCCAGGGCUCAACCCUGGAAUGCCGGUGGAUACUGUCGGGCUAGAGUCCGGAAGGGGCGAGUGGAAUUCCUGGUGUAGCGGUGAAAUGCGCAGAUAUCAGGAGGAACACCAAUGGCGAAGGCAGCUCGCUGGGACGUGACUGACGCUGAGGCACGAAAGCUAGGGGAGCAAACAGG
rnacentral:rRNA from 1 species